rnacentral:misc_RNA from 1 species
AAAGUCGUAACAAGGUUUCCGUAGGUGAACCUGCGGAAGGAUCAUCAUAGGAUUUUAUAGAUAGCCUGGGUUUUCCACAGUUGGCCCUUUGAUGGGUGCCUGUGGGGGACCCAUCCUAUACUCAUUCCCAGCAAAUUGUAUUUUUGGAGGGAGCUUGGUUGACUGAGCAAUGCGAGAGGACAUGUGGGGAGAAAAGAGCAAAACAACUUUCAACAACGGAUCUCUUGGCUCUC